UACGUAGGGUGCAAGCGUUAAUCGGAAUUACUGGGCGUAAAGCGUGCGCAGGCGGUUGUGCAAGACCGAUGUGAAAUCCCCCGGGCGUUAACCUGGGAAUGGCAUUGGUGACUGCACGGCUAGAGUGUGUCAGAGGGGGGUAGAAUUCCACGUGUAGCAGUGAAAUGCGUAGAGAUGUGGAGGAAUACCGAUGGCGAAGGCAGCCCCCUGGGAUAACACUGACGCUCAUGCACGAAAGCGUGGGGAGCAAACAGGG
rnacentral:rRNA from 1 species